GUGGGGAAUCUUCCGCAAUGGACGAAAGUCUGACGGAGCAACGCCACGUGAGUGAUGAAGGUCUUCGGAUUGUAAAGCUCUGUUAAUCGGGACGAAAGAGCCUAGUGUGAAUAAUGCUAGGAAGUGACGGUACCGGAAUAGAAAGCCACGGCUAACUACGUGCCAGCAGCCGCGGUAAUACGUAGGUGGCAAGCGUUGUCCGGAAUUAUUGGGCGUAAAGCGCGCGCAGGCGGAUCUGCCAGUCUGUCUUAAAAGUUCGGGGCUUAACCCCGUGAUGGGAUGGAAACUACAGAUCUAGAGUAUCGGAGAGGAAAGUGGAAUUCCUAGUGUAGCGGUGAAAUGCGUAGAUAUUAGGAAGAACACCAGUGGCGAAGGCGACUUUCUGGACGAAAACUGACGCUGAGGCGCGAAAGCCAGGGGAGCGAACGGGAUUAGAUACCCUUGUAGUCC
rnacentral:rRNA from 1 species